GCCCACGUAGCUCAGGGGUAGAGCACUUCCUUGGUAAGGAAGAGGUCACGAGUUCAAUUCUCGUCGUGGGCUCCA
rnacentral:tRNA from 1 species